rnacentral:lncRNA from 1 species
GGAUGUAUUUUAAUUUAUUUAUUAUUUUUCCAUUUUCCCCCACUUUAAAGUUGGCUGUUGACUUCAGUGAAAUUUUCCCUGGACUCAUGAAGUUAUCGAGUUUCUGAAUAACAAUAGGUUCUUCUUUUUAGUAUGUAUCCACAGAGCCUGCAACCUACAAUGCUAAAAGGUUAUGCUGCAAGGCAAGAUAAAAUGCUCAAGAGUCCUUCCAGAAAACUUAAUUUCCAAUUGAACAGCCAACGCUGCAUAUCGACUGAUGGGAAGUUCUACCACCUGCAAGUGGAAUGUCAACUACCACUCCAAAGGAAAAAAAAACAGACUGUACUUCUCAGUGGAACGAGGGAAGACACUACUGGUCAAUGAAGUGCAAUCUCCAGGAGACCCAGGGAUCAGCUAAUGAUGAGACACUCUCUCCAAUGGCAUUUAUCCUACACAAGUCUGCAGUGAUUUACUGUGUAACAACUCCCCAUCAUGUAUCUGGAAGGAGCUUCUCCGCUCCCCUUGGUUUCUGCCUUUCAAGAUACUGCGCUGCAUGAUGAUUAGCUUCAUAGGGAAAUGGCUGCUGUCGACAAACCCAGUCAUCCAUGUUGUACACUGCAUUACCUAAAUCCCAGGGGAGUGUCUGUCUGCAGGUGAAUGCUAAUGGCAGAAUCCAUUGAGAUCCAUGGCCGGUGUUACUCUGUGUAUUUGCAUACAGAAGUAUCUGUAAAGAUUCCUAUUAUUCUGUUUCCAUAUUUUUUUCACGACAGUCAUUCUUUGAGGACAGAGUUAUAGAAAUG